CUCUAACGCAACAGUUCUAGUGCAACGUUUAUGACCGUUGCGUUAGGUAUCUAUGGGGGCGGUUUUACAACGCUUUGACAACGGUUUACAAAAACCGCUUCGCUAGGCCCAAUAAUUUUGAUUUGGGCCGAUUUUAUAGGCUGGUUUGGGCUUAACACUGAAACGAAAUCUCUUUUUUUUUCUCACUGCUUUACCAAAUAUCCCUCUUUCUCUCUCACUCAACUCAUCACCCCUUUCUAAAAUCUCCCUCUUCGUUCGCUCUGAGAGAUCGCCAUGGCCGAAAUUCGUCGAUCUCAUCGCUUAACUCGUCGCUAAUCUCUUCGCCGUUUUUCGAUCUCAUCGUCUCCGAUCUCAACUCUGAUUUCGUCGUCGAUCUCGUAACUAAUCUCUUCGUCGAGCUGCUGGUCUCGUCUCCGAUCUCAUCUCCGAUAUAGGUCGUCGAGCUCGCAGCUAAUCCGUCUCCGAUCUCACUCUCCUUUGGACUCUCAGCUAAUCCGUCUCCGAUCUCAUCUCCGACCAUUUCUCGCAGGCACAAGACGAGAUUACAUAUUGGACAGCUAGUGAAAGAUACAUCAGCAAAGCUUAAACAAGGUAGUGAAAACGAUCACCGUGUUGAAGUUAGCUGAGCAAGAAAAAUAAGAAAGAGAGCUACCAAGAAGAGUUAGAAGAGCGUUUAAUCUCGUUGAUUACAUCAUUAUUUGACCAUAUAAUAAAUGGCGGAAAACAGAGAUUGGAUGUAUAAUGCUCCUAGAGUGAGUGUGGAGUUCAUUAAUAAUGUCAAUGACUUUCUUGAGAGAGCAUUUGCUAAUGGAGCAGAAGGGGAUGAAAUAUGUUGUCAUUGUCGCAUUUGUUGUAAUCGUUUUUGGUAUAGUCGUGAUGUUGUUUAUGAUCACCUUAUUGUCAAAGGAUUUGUAGAGAAUUAUUAUGAUUGGUUCUUUCACGGAGAGGGUGUGUCAUCAAGGAUGGAUGUUGAUGACAAUAAUGAAGAAGCUGAUGAUGUUGCUGAUGAUGCUCAAGACAAUCUGGAUGGGUUAUUGCAUGAUGUAUUUAGAGAUGUAGCAGAAGAGUCUCCAGUGAACCAAGAAGAUGGCCUAAGUGACGAUGAAGAAAGGUUAACAAAGGAGGCAAAGAAAUUUUAUAAGUUAGUUGAUGAAGGAAUUGUCAUUUGAAUGAAAAGCAAAAGGGCUUGUUUGAUGGAGACCCUUAGCAAUCUGUAGCCACCUAUUUUACUCAAAUGGAAGGUUUUGAUGCAGGUACAGAAAUGAUGAAAGCCAAGAUUGAGAUUGAUACUGACAGGUUCCUAGUGAGUAUUUGACAUUGAGGAACAAGUUUUUGGAAACAAAUAGAGAAUAUAGUCUUUGACCAAGAAGUUUCAUGUUUUGUAAUCAAAUGUUGAUGUACAUUGUUUGAAUGUUAGUUCGGUACGAUAUUUUCUGAGUUGAAAUGUUGGUAGUGUGGAUUUAAUACUUUGUAGUUUUUAUACUAUACUGAUGUAUGUUGGCACUUAUCAUUAUGGUUGAUUAUGCUCAACAUAAUCACUUUUAUAUUGUGUAUUAAAA